CAUGCAAGUCGAGCGAACGGAUAAGGAGCUUGCUCCUUUGAAGUUAGCGGCGGACGGGUGAGUAACACGUGGGUAACCUACCUAUAAGACUGGAAUAACUUCGGGAAACCGGAGCUAAUGCCGGAUAACAUUUGGAACCGCAUGGUUCUAAAGUAAAAGAUGGUUUUGCUAUCACUUAUAGAUGGACCCGCGCCGUAUUAGCUAGUUGGUAAGGUAACGGCUUACCAAGGCAACGAUACGUAGCCGACCUGAGAGGGUGAUCGGCCACACUGGAACUGAGACACGGUCCAGACUCCUACGGGAGGCAGCAGUAGGGAAUCUUCCGCAAUGGACGAAAGUCUGACGGAGCAACGCCGCGUGAGUGAUGAAGGUUUUCGGAUCGUAAAACUCUGUUAUUAGGGAAGAACAAAUGUGUAAGUAACUGUGCACAUCUUGACGGUACCUAAUCAGAAAGCCACGGCUAA
rnacentral:rRNA from 2 species